rnacentral:rRNA from 1 species
AUUGAACGCUGGCGGCAGGCCUAACACAUGCAAGUCGAACGAGCGGCGGACGGGUGAGUAAGGUAUGAAGACUGCCUGAUAGAGGGGGAUAACUAGUGGAAACGGUGGCUAAUACCGCUAACUAUCCGAUAACCCUUAUUGGAUUAGCUAGUAGGUGGGGAAAAGGCACACCUAGGCGACGAUUUCUAGCUGGUCUGAGAGGCUGAUCAGCCACACUGGGACUGAGACACGGCCCAGACUCCUACGGAGGCAGCAGUGGGGAAUAUUGGACAAUGGGCGAAAGCCUGAUGCAGCCAUGCCGCGUGUAUGAAGAAGGCCUUAGGGUUGUAAAGUACUUUCAGCGGGGAGGCGUUACCCAAAGAAAAAGCAACGGCUAACUCCGUGCCAGCAGCCGCGGUAAUAC